CUACAAGAUGAGCCAUGCAGGAUUAGCUAGUUGGUGAGGUAAUAGGCGUCACCAAGGCAACGAAUCUUUAGUUGGUCUGAGAGGAUGAUCAGCCACACUGGAACUGAGACACGGUCCAGACUCCUACGGGAGGCAGCAGUGGGGAAGUAUUGGACAAUGGGCGGCAAGCCUGAUCCAGCGACGCCGCGUGAGUGAUGAAGGCCUUAGGGUUGUAAAGGACUCUUUUAGUUGGGGAAGGAUAAUGACGGUACCCACAGAAAAAGACCCCGGCCUAACUUCGUGC
rnacentral:rRNA from 1 species